AUUGAACGCUGGCGGCAGGCCUAACACAUGCCAGUCGAGCGGAUGAAGGGAGCUUGCUCCUGGAUUCAGCGGCGGACGGGUGAGUAAUGCCUAGGAAUCUGCCUGGUAGUGGGGGAUAACGUCCGGAAACGGGCGCUAAUACCGCAUACGUCCUGAGGGAGAAAGUGGGGGAUCUUCGGACCUCACGCUAUCAGAUGAGCCUAGGUCGGAUUAGCUAGUUGGUGGGGUAAAGGCCUACCAAGGCGACGAUCCGUAACUGGUCUGAGAGGAUGAUCAGUCACACUGGAACUGAGACACGGUCCAGACUCCUACGGGAGGCAGCAGUGGGGAAUAUUGGACAAUGGGCGAAAGCCUGAUCCAGCCAUGCCGCGUGCGUGAAGAAGGUCUUCGGAUUGUAAAGCACUUUAAGUUGGGAGGAAGGGCAGUAAGUUAAUACCUUGCUGUUUUGACGUUACCAACAGAAUAAGCACCGGCUAACAUCGUG
rnacentral:rRNA from 1 species